CGGGCGAGGGCUGCGCGGCCGCGGCGGGGCGAGCGGCGGAGAAAUGUUUUCACAUGCAAGUUACGUACCUAUUGGCUGCAUGCUUCUGACCAGAUUGUCACUGCAAGGCUGAUGGCUCCUGACAAAAUGGAUGCGGAGUGGGAGACACCAACUGGAAACUUCUGCUUGACAGGUGCCAGGACAGUUGGUGGUAUUCAGGCCAUGAGCUUCCCAUUUAGUAAUGCACAGGAUUACCACCAACGUGCAAAUGCAGUUGUUUUUGUUGGAACAGCUUUAGCUUGCUUGAUGCCUGUCUCUUGCUGUUCAGUGACUGGGCCCCUCAUGUGUGCAGUCAGUGCUGGAGCUUCUUUCCUGCAUCAGAACUCCCAGGCCAGCACUGCUAUGCCAUAUUAAAUCACAUCUUCUUGCAUGAAAAAGGAUGUAAAAUGGAAUACAAAUCCAAAAUGGAGAUUCUUAUCAGAGUAAAAAGAGAGGAACAAAAUAAAACCACAGUACUAAAGCAGAGAUUCCCAAACUUAUUGUACUGGAGUUUCGUCACUGGUACGGAUGGGGAGGGACUGUUGGUGCCAGUGGUGUUAAUUUUUCUAUCUUAUCUUCCUCAACCUGUGACACAUUCCUGAGGGCAGAACUCAGCUCUGUCCUUUCUGCCUCACUUAAUAGUUUAUCAGCCCUACUUCAUUCCAUCCUGUUCUUG
rnacentral:lncRNA from 1 species